rnacentral:lncRNA from 1 species
ACAUGCGGGUGGUGUUCCAGGCAGAUGAAGAGCAUGUGCAAAAGUCCUGAGGCUGGGCCAGGAGGCAUGGGAGAAGGGGGUCUGAGCACCCGGGGACUCUCAGGACGAAGGGCGACACUGGGAUGGACUCCACUAAGGCCUUGGGAGGCCCAGUAUCAGGUCAGCUCUGGGCAGACAGUGGGGAUGGCCAGGAGACUUUGGGACCCAUACAUUUUAAAGAUUCGAAUUACAGGAAUUAUCCCCCAGGGGAACUCUCUCCAGAGCAGGUUUUUAUGGGGUACGACUCUCCUGGGGGCCUCGAUGAUGAUUCAGAAUCUCAGGACUUCACAGCCUCUCUCUGGUGAGGGGGCAGAAGCUGACCUCCAGCCCCUCUGGAGUAAGCUUGUCCUGGUCACAUGUUGGAUUAACCUGUAAGCCCGUUAACCACGGUCCCCACCUCUUGGCCACCUCACGCUGUUUUCUUGACCCGGGCCCUGAGAACUCCCUGGUUGGGGAGGAUUUUUCCAUCUUGGUCUCUAGGUCGGCCCACAUCCGCCCUGGCCCCUGGCCAAUGUCAUAGCCAGUACUGUGUGACGCUCUAGCUGUCUAGGAGCCCUUACCUCAACCCGAAGAGGACCUGGGGGAGCCAGUCACAUGGUGGUGAACACUGCUGACUCAUUUGGCACCGGAGACCGCUGAGGUUCCAGGGAAUCCACUGUGUAGGCUGCAUGUAACGGACCCCAUUACGAACUCCCAAGUCUGAGGGACAAAUGGGCUGCUGCCUGACCUCAUCUGACCCAGGCCCCACCUGAGCCAGGCCCCACCUGAGCCGGGCCCUCACCUGAGCCAGGCCCUCACCUGAGCCAGGCCCCACCUGAGCCAGGCCCUCACCUGAGCCAGGCCCCACCUGAGCCAGGCCCCACCUGAGCCGGGCCCUCACCUGAGCCGGGCCCUCACCUGAGCCGGGCCCUCACCUGACCCAGGCCCCACCUGACCCAGGCCCUCACCUGAGCCAGGCCCUCGCCGUCAGCCCUGACAUCCUGGAGCGGGGUGUCCCUGUCCAGGCCCACAUAACGAUGAGCAGAGGACUGUUUGGGUAAACUCAGCCCCAGCCCCUUCCCUUCCUGAGCCCUAGGCAAUGGGACCCUGGUGGGAAGCUGCUGGGUUCCUGAGGUUCGCUCCCUGGUCUCCCAGGGGGCACGGGGUGGGCUUGGUGCUCAAGUUCUCAUUUCUCUCUCCUCCCUCCCCAAAUCCACGUGGACCGAGGGAGGAAUUCACGUGGACACUCAACUCAGUGAAGGAAAGCCGGGCAAAGGCAAACCAGGCAAAGAAUCUUCACAGGACGCAAAGACCUGAGGUCACAGGGACAGCGAAAGCCACAGACCCGAAGGCCCACGCCCCAUGAAAGAGGGGGAAAGUGAGCUCAAAAGCCACGGCCUUUCCUGGGAGAAGGGAGCCCAGGGAGAGGCUGGGGGGGGUGUGCAGGCCACAGGCACAGGGGUGACUCCUGGAAGGGGCUUGUGCUGAUCAGCUGUGUCCCCAAGCUUAGCUCUAAGCUGUGUGUGCCCAGAGGUCAAGGUCCAAGGCCAGUGUAAUGCUCUAGAGUCACUAAGUGGAAUUUCCCAGCUGGGUGCUGGGGCUGGGGAACCAGGCAGCACCUGCCACGGUGGGACGUGUUCUCCAGAGUUUAGGUGUUAAGUUCACAUGGAGACGUGGGGCUUUGGGGAGAUAAUCAGGGUAAGAUGAGGUCAUCAGGGUGGGGACCCUGAGGGCAUUAGCAGCUUCAUAGGAAGAGGCAGAGGGCCCUGAGCCGCAGUCUCCCCACAGGGUGUCCCCGCCAUGUCACGAGAGAGCCAGGAGGCCCUCGCCAGAAGCUGGCACCUUGCUACUGGACUUCUUGGCCUCCAAACUGUGAGGAAUAAGUUCCCCUUCUUCAAAAAUUACCCAGUCUGUGCCAUUCUGUUUUAGCAACAAUCAAACAAAGGCUCAGACAGUGCCCUGGGCAUUUUAAGGGUCCCACAGGGAAGCGGAGCCUUUUACUCAGAAAAUCAGACCCACAGAUUCCUCCUGGCCACAGGCCUCUUCCCUCAAUUACCCUAACCAGGGCUCUCCCAGCCAGAGCCGCCACUCAUGACGCUGGGCCUGAGGAACAUUCCAGAAAUUGAACAUUUUGUCUACACCUCCUUCAUCUUCAAAUAUGUAUGGACAACCAGAAAACACCCUCCCCCUCCAUGAGGAGCUCCAGGGCAGUGAAGGAGAGACCCCCACUCCACUAGCACAAGAACCGCUCAGGGGGGGACACAGUAAGCGGAAGGAAAAGGUCAAACAACCGUAGUUUACAUUUCCAGGGAAAUCCAAUAGGGCAUCUGGAUUUUAAAUAACAGACUCCUGCCAUUUAAAAUCGCAAACACGACGGACAAAAUCUGAAGCCUUCAAUCUGUGGGUUGAAUAACGAGGUGGAUCCAGUGUCCUGGGUGCUCAAGACAAAGAAGGCUCUCAGCACAGCGACAAAGGGCACCCACCGGCCUGUCAAACAUCGACCCAGAGCUGCACGACGUGGACAUUGGAUAGAGGGUUUUCCACAUCUAAGUCAGAGAAGGCAGCAGACGUGGGGAUUGGAAUGACAGAAGAAACAAGAGGAGAAAACCUCUCUUAGGUGGAAGAAGACGGAGAUGUUUCAUUGAAGGUCCCAGUCACGGCCGAGCAGGGCUGGUGGAGAGUUGACGCAUGCCUGGGACAUGUCUGGGCUCCUUGAACACAGGCAGGUUUGUAUGUUAAGUGUCCAUCAUGACUCUGGCAAUUUUAGUGUGAUGUUGGCCUUCUUUUUAUAUAUAUAUUUAGUUGUCAGUGGACUUUUUUUUUUUUAAUUGAUACCUGGUGCUGAGGAUCCAACCCACUGCCUCACACAUGCUAGGCAAGCGCUCUGCCACUGAGCCACGCCCCAGUCCCCACGUUGGCCUUCUUUCAUCCACCCAUUCAUGAUCUCAGUCGGCAGCCUUUAUCGAGGACCUGACCUCACAAAACACGGUCUACUGGGAACAGACCAGAGAACAGUCAACCACAGAGCGGCAGCACAGCAUGGGGCUCAGAAUGGCAACUGUGGAGCUAGGCUGCCCGGCUAGACCCUGGUCACCGUCACCAGGCACGUGUUUCUCUGUACUUCAUGUCAUUCCACCUAAAACGUAGGAGGGUGGUUUCUCUAUCGUAGGUUGUUUAGAAGACGAAGACUUAAGGAAAGCGCUUAGGAC